rnacentral:rRNA from 1 species
AUUGAACGCUGGCGGCAGGCUUAACACAUGCAAGUCGAGCGGGGGAGGUUGCUUCGGUAACUGACCUAGCGGCGGACGGGUGAGUAAUGCUUAGGAAUCUGCCUAUUAGUGGGGGACAACAUUCCGAAAGGGAUGCUAAUACCGCAUACGCCCUACGGGGGAAAGCAGGGGAUCUUCGGACCUUGCGCUAAUAGACGAGCCUAAGUCGGAUUAGCUAGUUGGUGGGGUAAAGGCCUACCAAGGCGACGAUCUGUAGCGGGUCUGAGAGGAUGAUCCGCCACACUGGGACUGAGACACGGCCCAGACUCCUACGGGAGGCAGCAGUGGGGAAUAUUGGACAAUGGGCGGAAGCCUGAUCCAGCCAUGCCGCGUGUGUGAAGAAGGCCUUUUGGUUGUAAAGCAUUUUAAGCGAGGAGGAGGCUCUUAAGGUUAAUACCCUUGAUGAGUGGACGUUACUCGCAGAAUAAGCACCGGCUAACUCUGUGCCAGCCGCCGCCGUAAUAC